UACGUAGGGUGCAAGCGUUGUCCGGAAUUAUUGGGCGUAAAGGGCUCGUAGGCGGUUUGUCGCGUCGGGAGUGAAAUCCACUGGCUUAACUGGUGGCUUGCUUUCGAUACGGGCAGACUGGAGGUAUGCAGGGGAGAACGGAAUUCCUGGUGUAGCGGUGAAAUGCGCAGAUAUCAGGAAGAACACCCGUGGCGAAGGCGGCUCUCUGGGACGGUACUGAUGCUGAGACGCGAAAGCGUGGGGAGCGAACAGG
rnacentral:rRNA from 1 species